UGGGUUGUGGCUCAGUGGUAGAGCACUUGCCUAGCAUGUGUGAGGCACUGGGUUCAAUCCUCAGCACCACAU
rnacentral:tRNA from 1 species